CUGGACAAAAAUUAACAUCUGGUUACUGAUUGUUGUAGGUGUGGUGACUGAGAAGACCACUGCAUGCAGCAAAUUACAUAGUUUUACUUAAUGCUGUGUUACCCCACCACCACCCCGGCCCUCACAACAUGCACACAAAAUGUCUCCCAAUGACUCUUCCAAUCAUAACAGAACAUUCUGCUUUUUGAGCAUGCCCAAAUCGUUUUUGAACGGGGUCUCAAAGAUGCUCCUUGGAGCCAGACAUCAACUGGAAACCAGGAGUGAUGAAAAUCAUAUGCUGAUCUCAGAUUGGCAGCACCUGAAGGAAGCCUUUUAUGAGGAGCCCCAUGAUGUCCAAGACAGGAUUCAAUCCAUGGCAACCCUCUGGGUUCCAUGCUGCCGAUGUUCUAUUUUUUGCCCUUUGUUAAUAUAACUAUUUCUUUUUGUAAAUAAAUUCAUCUCUUUUAUAAGCA